rnacentral:rRNA from 1 species
UACGUAGGGUGCGAGCGUUGUCCGGAAUUACUGGGCGUAAAGAGCUCGUAGGUGGUUUGUCGCGUUGUCCGUGAAAACUCACAACUCAAUUGUGGGCGUGCGGGCGAUACGGGCAGACUGGAGUACUGCAGGGGAGACUGGAAUUCCUGGUGUAGCGGUGGAAAUGCGCAGAUAUCAGGAGGAACACCGGUGGCGAAGGCGGGUCUCUGGGCAGUAACUGACGCUGAGGAGCGAAAGCGUGGGGAGCGAACAGG